rnacentral:lncRNA from 1 species
CGAGGAAGCACCAGAUCGAGGCCGGUGUGGCGGGGGCGGCAGCGCUCGGCGCCGGCGGCUACGCGUACCACGAGCACCGCGAGCAGAAGCAGGCCGCCUACGGCGGGCAGCAGGAGUACAGGAUGCCCGUCCACAACGGCUACUGCAACUAAGUGCACGCUACCAACGUCGAUCGAUCGUCGUAUAGACUCCAAUAAUAAAAUCGACAGAGCAUCAUGCAGGCAGGCAUGCUGCAUGCAUGUGUUGCUUAAGUAUUGUUAAUUUCGGCUUAUCUACAAUAAGCUAGCUGCAUGCGUACGUUCAUGCUACCAGUCGCGUGCUCUGUGGUGUAACUUGCAUAUGGUACAAUACGGUCGACAGUAUUUACGCGUGUAUGGAUUGUGUGGUCUUGANNN